UGGGGAAUUGUUCGCAAUGGGCGCAAGCCUGACGACGCAACGCCGCGUGGAGGAUGAAGACCUUCGGGUUGUAAACCGCUUUCAGGGGGGACGAAGCCACUCGGGUGAAUAGCCCAGAGGGUGACGGUACCUUCAGAAGAAGCCCCGGCUAACUACGUGCCAGCAGCCGCGGUAAUACGUAGGGGGCAAGCGUUGUCCGGAUUUAUUGGGCGUAAAGAGCGUGUAGGCGGCCAGGUAGGUCGGUUGUGAAAACUGGAGGCUCAACCUUCAGACGUCGACCGAAACCCCUUGGCUAGAGUCCGGAAGAGGAGAAUGGAAUUCCUGGUGUAGCGGUGAAAUGCGCAGAUAUCAGGAAGAACACCCGUGGCGAAAGCGGUUCUCUGGGACGGUACUGACGCUGAGACGCGAAAGCGUGGGGAGCGAACAGGAUUAGAUACCCUUGUAGUCCCUGAGCGGGCUGGCAAGGCGCAU
rnacentral:rRNA from 1 species